rnacentral:rRNA from 1 species
GACGAACGCUGGCGGCGUGCCUAAUACAUGCAAGUAGAACGCCGUUGCGAACGGGUGAGUAACGCGUAGGUAACUGCCUCAUAGCGGGGGAUAACUAUUGGAAACGAUAGCUAAUACCGCAUACUGUGAGAUGGACCUGCGUUGUAUUAGCUAGUUGGUGAGGUAAUGGCUCACCAAGGCGACGAUCCCUAGCUGGUCUGAGAGGAUGAUCAGCCACACUGGAACUGAGACACGGGCCAGACUCCUACGGGAGGCAGCAGUAGGGAAGAUGGCACAAUGGGGGAAACCCUGAUGCAGCCAUGCCGCGUGUGUGAAGAAGGCCUUCGGGUUGUAAAGCACUUUCAGCGAGGAGGCGUUACCAACAGAAGAAGCACCGGCUAACUACGUGCCAGCAGCCGCGGUAAUUC